rnacentral:miRNA from 1 species
AUUUUAUUAUUUUACAAUACACACACACACACACACACACACACACACAUAUAUAUAUAUAUAUGUGUGUGUGUGUGUGUGUGUGUGUGUGUGUGUGUCUGUGUGUGUGUAUUGUUAAAAAAAAU